CAUCUUGUGUCGGUCGACACUUAUAGAUGGAUGUGAUGCAUGUAUGUACGAUCACUUCAAAAAUGAUUGAGGAGAAGGUUUACAAGCCUAAAGUUUUGCACCAUGUUGUGUUACUAAACACUUGAAACCGCAUAUCAGUGCAAAAGAGUUGGAUGUGUUUUACAGUAGAGUGAAAAGGAUUCUAGAAAGUGUCUCUUUUGAAGAUGCUUAUGAUGCAUUUCGAUUCAAUUAGUUCUUCAAGAACAACGAAGAGACCAUAGAAAGAAUCAAGACAGCAUAUGAUGAAGCUAUAAGUGCAGCCAGAGGGGUUAAAAGCUUACAGAUAAUGUGACCUUUAUGGUUCUAUGCACUAUUGCAGGAGUUGAGUUUCCUGAUGCAUUUCGUGAUAUAUGAUCUACAGUGAACAUCUUGUCUAUGGACAUCCCUAAUAAACUAGGUCUUGCUACAUAAGAUUCUAAGAUCACUCAAACUUUUGCAGAUUUUUUCUUCAAAACCUCUUCAAGGUAUAAUGAAUAACAUGAUGCAUUGCUCCUAUUGAUUUUCAGGUGAUGGAGAUGAGUAGUAGAUCAAGUACACCUUUGAUGUUUGGAAGAGUUUUUCAGGCUACAGCUGGAUGAGUAAUUGACAUGCAAAAGGGCAUGAUUUCAUUUGCCAACAUUGAUGAGAAUGUUUGCUACAAAGUUGUGCCUCAAGACAGAGCCAUGCGUAUGAUUUCUUGCACUGAUGUGACUGAUAUUCCAUUGUUUUUGGCUGUUUCUCAAGAUGAUAUAGGUGAUAAUCGUGAUGCUGAGAAAAUUUUGGAUGGAGACAUCAACAUACAAUCACAUAAGUACCGGGAAAGAGAAAGAAAAAUAAGGUGAAAAACAAAAGGAUUUAAGAGUGCUCUUCACUUGAUACUAGUUUCUCAUAGUCUUUUCAGCUGGUGUCAUUGAAUACAAAGUACAGAUGAAGGGCUUUUCAGCCAUUCAUGAAAGUUGGAUUAAUUUUUAUUUAUGAGCUGGAGGACAAAUAAAAGAAUUCACUGAAAUAGUUUAUGACCAGUAUGAUCAAGUUGAAGAUAUUGGACACCGGAACUUGUUUAUAGCAAGUUCUCAAUCUCAUUUGGACUAAAUCUAGUCUCCAAAAUCGAACUGGUAACUAUCAACAAUUGUUUAGUGGGAAGUAACCCACUAGUAAUUUUUUUAUUAUAUUCAAAAGACAUCCAUAUUCUAAAACUUUUAAAUAUGAAAAGUUAAAACCAUUUUAGAAUUUAUAGCUUCAGCACGAUAAUGAAGAUUCUUCGACGAAACCCAAAACCAGAAACUGGCUCACCAACAAACCACAUGAAUCUAAAUAUAAAAGAAAAAGAAUAGAAAUAAAAAAUAGCUCAAUAUAAGAAAAACUGGUAGAUCGAAGUUGGUGAAAAGAAAAAAAAAGGAAAGAAAAUAUUUUCCUAUUUUAUUAUCCUUUCUGAAUUAUAUUAUUUACAAUUAGGAUAUUGAAUAAAAUAUUCAACUAUUGAAUCUACAUUAAGGAUGUUGAAAAAUGAAAUAUGAUGAUGUCGAUUAUUUAUGUUGAAUAGAUUUAACAUGUUGAAUAAAUUCAACCUAUUAAAUAAAAAGAAAAUAAAAAUCACCAACUAUACAUGUCACUUUUUAUAAUUCUUUAUUUAAGCGCUAAGAUUGAUAAAAUAUUUCUUGUAUCAGUUGAGUUCAAAAAUGACCAUGAUGGUAAAUUUCUAAUGUUGGGUAGAUAAUUAAAAGAAAAAUGGCAAACAACUUUAUAAAAAAAUAGUUACCGUUAAGGAAAAAAAAUAAGAAUUGAUUACAAGAAAAUGGGGAUUGAGAAAAAGUAAGGUGUCGUGUUAAGUGUCCAAAUUUGUUUAACUAGUCUUAGCAGUGUGAUUCUAAUUCCUAAUACGUACCAUUUUUUUGUUUAACUCAUAACACUAUUAGUUAAAAAAUGUUUUUCUUUUACAUUUUUUUACUUCUUUGUUCGUAUUUAUUGGCAGCCGCAAAGGUCUACUUAAUUAACUGGUGACUUUAUUAAAUAAUUUUUCAUUUAACUUUUUUAUCUUCUAUUUAGCCUUUUACAAAAAUAAUUAAAAAUAGUUUUAAUUUUUAAUAAACUAAUGAUAUUUCAAUUUAUUUCAGUUUUAAGUAAAAGUAAUUAUAAAAUUGAAUAUAUAUCCGGUGAAUCAAAAAAAAUACAGAGGGAGAGAAAAAAAAAUGAAGAGAUCUUGUCGUCUUCACCUUCUUCGGUCGACCGCGUCAUGUCGUUCGUAUUGUGAGAAGGUGGUCAUGUUAUUUAGUUGUCUUAGCUUCUUUUCUUCUUCUAGACGGUACUUUAGAUAUCUCAGAUCUCAGAUCUAAAGCGAAAGUAUCAAAUCAUACUCUGCCAACUCUGAUCUUAACAGAUCUGGUGGUCAGUGGUGGUUAUAGUCUUUGUUUAUCGGUUGUAUUAAUAAGGUUGUGUGCGAAAGCUCUUCUAGGCUUUGUCGUGGUGUGGUGGCGUGUAGGAGGCGCAUGGAGAGCCCGUUUAAGGUCUGAUGGCGAGUUUAGUUGGAGUUGGAGGGUGUUUAGUUUCGUUUACUAACGCGACGUUUGGUUUCUUUCAUUAUCUCUUUGAUUAGCAUCUAGGGUUGUUAGUCUUUGGUAUUGUGUAGUUUUUUGUGUUUGUCUUAAGCUCCAAUAUUUUUAUUUUGAGUUUUGUAGAUUUAUUAUGGUUUGUUUUGUGAAUCUUGGUGUCGAUUCAAAAUUAUCUCAGGUUGAUUUGGAGUCUUACUUAUGGUCAUUUAGUUUAUGGAGUGUUUCCUUAGCAACCGCCGGCUUGUGACUUCGGGUCAAAGAAAAAAGAAGUGAUGAUGUCGAUGGUGAAAGACAUGUGAACUUAAAAACUCAAGACUGUAGUUGGUAAGAAAAUCAAGAGUACUCAACGAUGGAGGAUGGAUGGUGGUGUUUACAGCAACGACAAUGGACGAAAGGUGCGGUGGUGGUGGUGGUUACAACGACGGUGUGGAAACUAUGGUAGUAGUGGUCAUAGAGAAUGAAGCAGUCAUGGAUACAUAAAAAAUUGUGAUCUUUCAUGACAGAUUACUGUGGAUGUGGUGGUGCUUGUGUUGAUCACCGACAUAACUAAUGUGGGUUGAAGAAAGAGAUAUUAUAAAUAGAAUAUAGUAAUAAACAAAAUAGCAUAGUACAUAUUGUUCAAAUUUUGAAACGUCUAUCAUUAUAAAGAAUGAGGUAAUGCUUAUUCCAACGUCAA